CUAAACAAAGGACUGAUGACCCAUCCCAGCUGUGGAUGUACUCCAGAAACUUGAUUUGAACUGCAGCUUAUUCCAUCACAGCUAAAUAUGGCUCAACAG